GCUCUAUGACCGACCCCAACUAUCCAUGCAUGAGAGUGGACUUCCCUAGAUUGUAACACCCCUCAUUUCCGAAUGUUCGUAUAAAUUUUUGGUGAUAAUGUAAGCAUCUAUUUUAAUUGACAAAAGAAAUAGAGUAUGAAUCAGAGGUAACUUAUUUUUAAGAUUUGGGAGAUCUGUUCAAAAAAAAAAAAAAAAAAAAGAAAGAAUCUGAGGACCUAUAUGUAAACCCUAAGGACCUAAUCGUGAAUAUGAUAAAAAUGAGGACUAAACUGCAAAAUGCACCAAAUGACAAAUUCCACCGCUUAAGCCUCUCUGCCUUCGUUGUUAAGGAAGCAGAGGAGGCAGCUCGUGGGUGAUCAGGGAAAGAAAAGAAGAAGAAGAAGAAGAAGAAGAAGAAGAAGGAGAAGAGAAAGAAAAUUUGGGGCUUUUAGGGUUUUUGCUUUAAUCUUGUUACUUCGGGUCAAAAUUUGCAAAGGAUAGCGUAACUCUUGCUUAAAUGUUAAGAAUGGGCUGAGGCAGCGGAAAGUUUAGAAGACGUUGGGCAGAACUUUUGUUAGCAUAUAUGUAGUUGUGUAUAAGCUACCUUGUAUCUAAUGAAAUGUGACUAUGAAUCUAAACCUGUGGAUUUUGUGUAAGUUAAAGGAUCCCUCAUGUAUAGGGUUUUGGAAUGUUAAAUUAAAUUUGUGUAAGGAUAUGAACUUAUGGUAAAUCGAUGAUUGUGGUGACUGCAUAGAUUUCCCCACUUGUGGAUUUA